CCUACGGGUGGCAGCAGUGAGGAAUAUUGGUCAAUGGGCGAGAGCCUGAACCAGCCAAGUCGCGUGAGGGAGUACUGCCCUAUGGGCUGUAAACCUCUUUUGUCGGGGAGCAAAAGCCGGACGUGUCCGGCUGUGAGAGUACCCGAAGAAAAAGCAUCGGCUAACUCCGUUCCAGCAGCCGCGGUAAUACGGAGGCUGCGAGCGUUAUCCGGAUUUAUUGGGUUAAAAGGGAGCGCAGGCGGAUUUUUAGGUCUUCGUUAAACUCGUGGGGUUAAACCCCAUCGAGCCUUUGAAACUGGGGAUCUAGAGUGUGCGAGAGGUAUGCGGAAUGCGUGGUGUAGCGGUGAAAUGCAUAGAUAUCACGAAGAACCCCGAUUGCGAAGGCAGCAUACCGGUGCACAACUGACGCUCAGGCACGAAAGCGUGGGUAUCGAACAGGAUUAGAUACCCUAGUAGUC
rnacentral:rRNA from 1 species